CUCUCUGCGAAUUGUCACAUGACUGUUAAGCUAAAUGCAUUACGAAUGCUGUUUCAAGUAGUCCUUAGGAAAGGAAACAAGGAGUGAAUGUAUGAAGGAGAAACAGAGCAAAGGAAGGAGGAAGUGAAAGAGCCCCACUGGUCCAACUCGGCCCGGUAUCUGAGUUCUGGCCUGGGCUGGUGAUCUUUCUCCUUGACGGAGGCCAUCUGGCGGUUACGCUCGUGUCGAUGGCGGUACAGGAAGCGGGUCAUCACGGCCACGGCGCAGAGGGUAAUGAGCACUACUGCUGCUAUCAAACCUACGAGAGACAGAAUAACACGUUUGCCUUGAGCAAGAACACAGCACCUACCUCCAAUUACACACAUACACUCUCGACUCAGAGCACGUUUGCCUUAAAAAAUGGAGCAGGAACACAGCACCUACCUCCAAUUACACACAUACACUCGUGACUCAGAGCACCUACCUCCAAUUACAGCGGAGUCACUUUGG